rnacentral:snRNA from 1 species
ACUCGGUGAAUAGAGGCAGAUA